rnacentral:RNase_P_RNA from 2 species
GCUGCCGGACGGGUAGUCGCUCCCAUUUUUGGGAGAGGAAAGUCCGGUCUCCAUAGGGCAGCGUGCCGGCUAACGGCCGGGCGGAUCGUAAGGUCCGACGGAUAGUGCCACAGAAAAUAUACCGCCUCGCCUUCGGGCGCGGUAAGGGUGAAAUGGUGCGGUAAGAGCGCACCGCGGCAGGAGUAAUUCUGCCGGCAGGGAAAACCCCACGCGGAGCAAGACCAAAUAGGGGAGGAGGGGCGGCCCGUCCCGCUUGACUUCCGGGUAGGUCGCUAGAACCGGUCAGUAAUGGCCGGUCCAGAGGAAUGACUACCGCCCGCAAGGGUACAGGAACCGGCUUACAGUCCGGCAGCUAAU